AAUUAAUUAACAUCAAAAUAUUAAUUAGAAAUAGUUUUUAGACUUUAAUUAACCUUGUUCCCACCUCAGAACAAGCUUGUUUCAAGAAAAAUGGUGGAACGGCAGUUCCAGCCUUAUACCAGCUUAUUUUUAAAAAUUCGAGAACUACUAUUCUCUGGUACUAAACACGACGUUCGGGAACAAAGGGGAGAACAAAAACUUAUUCUCUCCUUGUUCCCGCACCAAACACUGCCUCAAUGUCCAAAUGAUUGUCCAAAUAGGGACAUGGCCAUAUAGUUUUAGAUGCACAUGAAUUUUCUGUACAUUUUUUUAUACAAUUAUUCAUCCAAAAUUUGUGGAUGAUGAUCAAACAAGCUGCCUCGAAGUUGAAUCUGGCGGGUUAGAUGGUUCCUUCCUGCCAUUUAUCACACGAUUAGGUCAAAGCUCACGUCUUCCAUGGAUCACGUUGUUUCGCUCGAUCCAGAUUUGCCACCACAAGGAAGAUAGAAGAGCAAGUUCUUUGGUCCACUUUUGUUUAUCUUGAAGGUCGAGUUACUUUGCCUACAUUCCUCUACCAUCUUUCAUGGGUUGUAAGUUUGGAAGCCUAUCGUCGAAGCAAAAGAUCGAGCAAGUAUCUGAUGAAUAAACAUCUAUGAAAAGGGUGGUUACAAGUUUCUUGGUUGUUAGCACAUGCAGAAUUGUUCGAUCUCCUCACCGGCCACAAUUUUUGAAGAAUGUCUGCGGCCAUGACUCUUUUCCUGAGAAUCGGUCAUACAAGGAUUUUGAUUUUAACACGCAUUUUUUGUUCCCAAAUUCGGGAGCUCAAAUGGCCCCUUGAGCUCUUCGUCUGAGAGAAAGUUGUACGGGGACUUGACGGAGAAGUGCAGGGUUAACAAUACAUAUUGAGGAAUAGGUUUGCUGAAUCUGGUUAUUAUUAUAUUGAGUAGUGCAAUAAGUGCUCCAAAAAUAUGUUUUUUUUCCUUGUUUUUGAAAAAUGCUGGAGUCCUUGCUAUGUCUAUCUCCUAUGUAUACUGAUCAGCUGAUGUAAGGGCUUAUGAGUAAUGAACAUAUCAAUAUGCUAGUA